rnacentral:pre_miRNA from 1 species
AAAAAGAUAAACUCUGAGUUUCCGCUCCGUGUCUAAUUUUAACUAUCCAUUUUAUAUAAAUUUUUUUAUAAUUUAUAUUUUUAUUGAUGUUAAAUGAUAAAGCAUGAUUAAUAUUUUAUGUGUGAUUUGUCUUUUUAAUUUUUUUUCAUAAUUUUUUUAAAUAAGACGGACGGUUAAACGUUGGACAUGGAAAUC